UUCCUGGGCGUCUAUUGUACCAUCGUUGCCCCCCCCCAGUUACGUGCGGCGGCAGCGGAAUAUGGCCUUCCGCGCUUUGACGCGGUGGCCGAAUGUCGUUUUAGGGGCCGUGCCUUCCGCGUCCAUGCCUGGUGGUGAGUAUUCCAUUCGGCCCCUCAAAGUCGUGACGUGGGAGCCCCCUGCU
rnacentral:rRNA from 1 species